AUGAACGCUGGCGGCGCGCCUAACACAUGCAAGUCGAACGGCACCUAUCUUCGGAUAGAAGCGAGUGGCGAACGGCUGAGUAACACGUGGAGAACCUGCCCCCUCCCCCGGGAUAGCCGCCCGAAAGGACGGGUAAUACCGGAUACCCCGGGGUGCCGCAUGGCACCCCGGCUAAAGCCCCGACGGGAGGGGAUGGCUCCGCGGCCCAUCAGGUAGACGGCGGGGUGACGGCCCACCGUGCCGACAACGGGUAGCCGGGUUGAGAGACCGACCGGCCAGAUUGGGACUGAGACACGGCCCAGACUCCUACGGGAGGCAGCAGUGGGGAAUCUUGCGCAAUGGGGGGAACCCUGACGCAGCGACGCCGCGUGCGGGACGGAGGCCUUCGGGUCGUAAACCGCUUUCAGCAGGGAAGAGUCAAGACUGUACCUGCAGAAGAAGCCCCGGCUAACUACGUGCCAGCAGCCGCGGUAAUACGUAGGGGGCGAGCGUUAUCCGGAUUCAUUGGGCGUAAAGCGCGCGUAGGCGGCCCGGCAGGCCGGGGGUCGAAGCGGGGGGCUCAACCCCCCGAAGCCCCCGGAACCUCCGCGGCUUGGGUCCGGUAGGGGAGGGUGGAACACCCGGUGUAGCGGUGGAAUGCGCAGAUAUCGGGUGGAACACCGGUGGCGAAGGCGGCCCUCUGGGCCGAGACCGACGCUGAGGCGCGAAAGCUGGGGGAGCGAACAGGAUUAGAUACCCUGGUAGUCCACGCCGUAAACGAUGGAUACUAGGUGUAGGAGAUGAUUUCAUCAUCUGUGCCGAAAGCAAACGCAAUAAGUAUCCCACCUGGGGAGUACGGCCGCAAGGUUGAAACUCAAAGGAAUUGACGGGGGCCCGCACAAGCGGUGGAGUAUGUGGUUUAAUUCGAAGCAACGCGAAGAACCUUACCAGGGCUUGACAUAUACAGGAAUACUUAAGGAAACUUAGGUAGCUUUUCGGAGUCUGUAAACAGGUGGUGCAUGGUUGUCGUCAGCUCGUGUCGUGAGAUGUUGGGUUAAGUCCCGCAACGAGCGCAACCCCCGCCGCGUGUUGCCAUCGGGUGAUGCCGGGAACCCACGCGGGACCGCCGCCGUCAAGGCGGAGGAGGGCGGGGACGACGUCAAGUCAUCAUGCCCCUUAUGCCCUGGGCUGCACACGUGCUACAAUGGCCGGUACAGAGGGAUGCCACCCCGCGAGGGGGAGCGGAUCCCGGAAAGCCGGCCCCAGUUCGGAUUGGGGGCUGCAACCCGCCCCCAUGAAGUCGGAGUUGCUAGUAAUCGCGGAUCAGCAUGCCGCGGUGAAUGCGUUCCCGGGCCUUGUACACACCGCCCGUCACACCAUGAGAGUUGGAGAUACCCGAAGCCUGUGAGCUAACUUUUAGAGGCAGCAGUCGAAGGUAGAGCCAAUGAUUGGGGUG
rnacentral:rRNA from 1 species